rnacentral:lncRNA from 1 species
AGGUAUUAAAAUUUUAAAAGUUAAAUAAUAUUUUAUUUUGUAAUAAAAUGUUAUUAUUAAAAUUUUCAAUUAUUUUUUAAAUUUUAUUUUAUUUACGGAUCAAAUCCGAUAUUCUUUAAAAUUCUAAAUCAUUUCGGAUAUGAGAGUCACCGAUUAUCCAUGUAGCUAAAGAUUGAAUCGACAUGAAUGCCUCCAAAUACCCGGAUAUUUGAUCUGUGCCAACAUGUAUUUACGGAUACAAUUGAUUUUUCUUUAUAUGAAAAAAAUUCAGUAAUGUCAAGGGCUUUUUAAUUUUUAAUUAAUUUUAAUUUUAUUUUUC